GGGGAAUAUUGCACAAUGGGGGAAACCCUGAUGCAGCGACGCCGCGUGGAGGAAGAAGGUCUUCGGAUUGUAAACUCCUGUUGUUGAGGAAGAUAAUGACGGUACUCAACAAGGAAGUGACGGCUAACUACGUGCCAGCAGCCGCGGUAAAACGUAGGUCACAAGCGUUGUCCGGAAUUACUGGGUGUAAAGGGAGCGCAGGCGGGAGAACAAGUUGGAAGUGAAAUCCAUGGGCUCAACCCGUGAAUUGCUUUCAAAACUGCUGGCCUUGAGUAGUGCAGAGGUAGGUGGAAUUCCCGGUGUAGCGGUGGAAUGCGUAGAUAUCGGGAGGAACACCAGUGGCGAAGGCGACCUACUGGGCACCAACUGACGCUGAGGCUCGAAAGCAUGGGUAGCAAACAGGAUUAGAUACCCUGGUAGUCCAUGCCGUAAACGAUGAUUACUAGGUGUUGGAGGAUUGACCCCUUCAGUGCCGCAGUUAACACAAUAAGUAAUCCACCUGGGGAGUACGACCGCAAGGUUGAAACUCAAAGGAAUUGACGGGGGCCCGCACAAGCAGUGGAGUAUGUGGUUUAAUUCGAAGCAACGCGAAGAACCUUACCAGGUCUUGACAUCCGAUGCAUAGUGCAGAGAUGCAUGAAGUCCUUCGGGACAUCGAGACAGGUGGUGCAUGGUUGUCGUCAGCUCGUGUCGUGAGAUGUUGGGUUAAGUCCCGCAACGAGCGCAACCCUUAUUGCCAGUUACUACGCAAGAGGACUCUGGCGAGACUGCCGUUGACAAAACGGAGGAAGGUGGGGAUGACGUCAAAUCAUCAUGCCCUUUAUGACCUGGGCUACACACGUACUACAAUGGCGUUUAACAAAGAGAAGCAAGACCGCGAGGUGGAGCAAAACUCAGAAACAACGUCUCAGUUCAGAUUGCAGGCUGCAACUCGCCUGCAUGAAGUCGGAAUUGCUAGUAAUCGCGGAUCAGCAUGCCGCGGUGAAUACGUUCCCG
rnacentral:rRNA from 1 species